rnacentral:lncRNA from 1 species
GAUGAAAAGUAAACAUCAUUAUCCUCACUGGAACGCAGUAUACUUUGCUCUGUAAUUACAGAUCCACAGGUCCUUCCUAUGCAGCCUAAGCAGCAGUGCUACCUCACAGUUUCGUGCAAAGGCAGACACAACUAGAGAAUACCAUGCUGCAGAAGCAAGGAAGAGUUCCCUGGUCUGAAAAGGUUAACUGCAGUAUCCUGAUGCACACUGUAAAAGUAUACAAGAUAGUAUACAAGAUAUUGACAUUGAAAGCUGA